UAGUUUCAUUUGCUUAAAGUUUCGGGUCGAAGGUAAGGUGUUGCUCCAGAUUUGUUUGUGAUUUUAUUUCUUAUGCCAACGCCAAGGUACCGAGUUGAAAAUAUUUAAAUUAAACUUUGCUUCGAGUAUGUGCCUUGCUUUCAACUCACUCAAAGGUCAUUUCACUUGGCUUUCAAGAAAAUUAGUUUUAAAUUAAUUAAAAGAUUUUCCCAUAACUGUGCGCUGUGUGGCUCUUGAUGGCGUUGGAAGAGUGAGGCCAGGCGGAGAAAGAAUGGUAAAACUUGGAUAAUCAUCCCGACCGCACCGCCCGCUUUUUGCAAGCGACUGGGCGACCUCCGACCGCCCGCCCCCAAGAACUCGGCUCACUUUUUAAUAGUUCGCAAACCACGAAAGGCUAUGUGAGUUUAAACACUGUUACAAAUACUUUUCCGGAGGCGGAAUGUGUGCGCCACUGGAAUUACGCAGCAGGCGCAAUCCGGAAAACUUCCUCGCCGUUCUUUUCUUUCCCACUUUUAUGUAGUCCUUAAGUAUUUAUUUGCAUUUCGACUUUGUGCUGGCAAGGCAAUCGUUUCGGCAAAAUUAAGCAUCUUAAAGUAUGCAUGUACAGUUGGAUUACGGAUGCCAAAGUGUGCCCCCUUUCUCCAGCGGAAGUUUAAAAAUGGAAAAAAGUAUCCAAACGGAAAUUGCGAAGUAAGCAAAUAUUAUAAAUCCAUUUAGAGUUAAUCAACGAAUCUUCUUAGGCAUUUGUAUGUUUGCAUGUCGGCGUUGCGAAAGGAAAUUACCCCGUGAGAAAGGAGCUGGGUUCUUGGGGUCGUAGAACCGCCAUCAGCUGUUCAUGCUUUCAUCCCCAAUUUUCACAGUUCGCUGUCAAAAAAAGUUAGCCUAACUCCGCAAAACACUGGCUGACUUUAGCUUUUAAAGUGUUUCCUUACAAAGGGAAGUUUAGUUACCAUUUAUUAGAAAAGUUGGUAAAAUGUGGUCACCUGUUGUGAAUACAUUUUUGUCAUAAUAA